rnacentral:rRNA from 1 species
GACGAACGCUGGCGGCGUGCCUAAUACAUGCAAGUCGAACGAAGCUUUUUUAACUGGUGCUUGCACCGACUUAAACAACUGAGUGGCGAACGGGUGAGUAACACGUGGGUAACCUGCCCCAAAGCGGGGGAUAACAUUUGGAAACAGAUGCUAAUACCGCAUAACCACAGAAACCACAUGGUUUCUGUGUCAAAGAUGGUUUCGGCUAUCACUUGGGAUGGACCCGCGGCGUAUUAGCUAGUUGGUAAGGUAAUGGCUUACCAAGGCAAUGAUACGUAGACGAACUGAGAGGUUGAUCGGCCACAUUGGGACUGAGACACGGCCCAAACUCCUACGGGAGGCAGCAGUAGGGAAUCUUCCACAAUGGACGAAAGUCUGAUGGAGCAACGCCGCGUGAGUGAAGAAGGUUUUCGGAUCGUAAAACUCUGUUGUCAGAGAAGAACGUGUGCGAGAGUAACUGUUCGUGCAGUGACGGUAUCUGGCCAGAAAGCCACGGCUAACUACGUGCCAGCAGCCGCGGUAA